rnacentral:rRNA from 1 species
AACGCUAGCUACAGGCUUAACACAUGCAAGUCGAGGGGAAACGACAUCGAAAGCUUGCUUUUGAUGGGCGCCGACCGGCGCACGGGUGAGUAACGCGUAUCCAACCUGCCCACCACUUGGGGAUAACCUUGCGAAAGUAAGACUAAUACCCAAUGAUAUCUCUAGAAGACAUCUGAAAGAGAUUAAAGAUUUAUCGGUGAUGGAUGGGGAUGCGUCUGAUUAGCUUGUUGGCGGGGUAACGGCCCACCAAGGCAACGAUCAGUAGGGGUUCUGAGAGGAAGGUCCCCCACAUUGGAACUGAGACACGGUCCAAACUCCUACGGGAGGCAGCAGUGAGGAAUAUUGGUCAAUGGACGAGAGUCUGAACCAGCCAAGUAGCGUGCAGGAAGACGGCCCUAUGGGUUGUAAACUGCUUUUAUAAGGGAAUAAAGUUAGUCUCGUGAGACUUUUUGCAUGUACCUUAUGAAUAAGGACCGGCUAAUUCCGUGCCAGCAGCCGCGGUAAUACGGAAGGUCCGGGCGUUAUCCGGAUUUAUUGGGUUUAAAGGGAGCGUAGGCCGGAGAUUAAGCGUGUUGUGAAAUGUAGACGCUCAACGUCUGCACUGCAGCGCGAACUGGUUUCCUUGAGUACGCACAAAGUGGGCGGAAUUCGUGGUGUAGCGGUGAAAUGCUUAGAUAUCACGAAGAACUCCGAUUG